rnacentral:rRNA from 1 species
UCCAGACUCCUACGGGAGGCAGCAGUGGGGAAUAUUGCACAAUGGGGGGAACCCUGAUGCAGCGACGCCGCGUGGGUGAAGGAGCACCUCGGUGCGUAAAGCCCUAUCGGCAGGGAAGAAACAGACGGUACCUGACUAAGAAGCCCCGGCUAACUACGUGCCAGCAGCCGCGGUAAUACGUAGGGGGCAAGCGUUAUCCGGAUUUACUGGGUGUAAAGGGAGCGUAGACGGCUGAGCAAGUCUGAAGUGAAAGGCGGGGGCCCAACCCCCGGACUGCUUUGGAAACUGUAUAGCUAGAGUGCAGGAGAGGUAAGUGGAAUUCCUAGUGUAGCGGUGAAAUGCGUAGAUAUUAGGAGGAACACCAGUGGCGAAGGCGGCUUACUGGACUGUAACUGACGUUGAGGCUCGAAAGCGUGGGGAGCAAACAGGAUUAGAUACCCGGGUAG